rnacentral:hammerhead_ribozyme from 1 species
GUACUGCAAAGGAGUCUCAUAAUAGGACGAAACGGCCGUCCAGUGC